UACAGAGGGUGCAAGCGUUGUUCGGAAUUACUGGGCGUAAAGGGCGCGUAGGCGGCGCUCCAAGUUAGGCGUGAAAGUCCUGGGCUCAACCUGGGAACUGCGCUUGAUACUGGAGUGCUUGAGGAUGGAAGAGGGUCGUGGAAUUCCCAGUGUAGAGGUGAAAUUCGUAGAUAUUCGCAAGAACACCGGUGGCGAAGGCGGCCAACUGGACCAUCACUGACGCUGAGGCGCGAAAGCGUGGGGAGCAAACAGGA
rnacentral:rRNA from 1 species